AAGGGUAUAGCUCAGUGGCAUAGCACGUGCUUAGCAUGCACGAGGUCUUGGGUUCAAUCCCCAGUACCUCCA
rnacentral:tRNA from 1 species